UUCAAUUUCGUAACAUGUGGAUUUGAGUAUCCCGAGGCAUGCUCAAAUAUAUUAUAUAUAGCUAAAAUGAAGAUUCGGCUACGCAGAGUUUUCUAUUCACCAUUUAAACAACAGCUUUAAAGUUAUUACUCAGUGGGAGAGCGAGGAAGGGGGAGCGAUGGGAGAUGAAGGAAGGAAGGAAGGUGGCCCUAACGGAGCGGUGGAUGAGAGGUAUAGCCGCCCUUGAGUCAAGAUCGCAGUGCUCUACGACUGGUUCGCCGACUAGAACUACCUUUUUCUCGGAUUGGUGGCGUUAUCCGAGUAGAUGGUGGAGAAAGAGAUGAUCUUGAUGCAGUCACGGUCACCAUUAUAUUACCAUGAAUCAAUCGUCGUUCUUGCUGCUUGUUUGUUUUCCUUUGUUUUCCCUUUUAAAUUUUCUUGUAUUUUACGGGCUUGAUUUAGAUUAAGGGAAAAUUUGCCAAGAAAAGGCAAGCAAGCUUUUCAUUUUUUUUGCUGGGAAAAAACAAGCUUUCCUUUC